rnacentral:tRNA from 1 species
ACUAUUUUGACAGAAAAAUGUAAUGAUUUUAGAAGUCAUAAAUAUAUAAGUUUAAUUAUAUAGAUAGUA